rnacentral:SRP_RNA from 2 species
GCUGGGCAUGGUGGCGCGUGCCUGUAAUCCCAGCUACUUGGGAGGCUGAGGCAGGAGAAUUGCUUGUACCUGGGGGACAGAGGUUGCAGUGAGCCAAGAUUGCUCCACUGCACUCCAGCCUGGGUGACAGAAUGAGACUCUGUCUCCA